UACGGGGGGGGUAAGCGUUGUUCGGAAUUACUGGGCGUAAAGGGCUCGUAGGCGGCCAACUAAGUCAGACGUGAAAUCCCUCAGCUUAACUGGGGAACUGCGUCUGAUACUGGAUGGCUUGGAUUCGGGAGAGGAAUGCGGAAUUCCAGGUGUAGCGGUGAAAUGCGUAGAUAUCUGGAGGAACACCGGUGGCGAAGGCGGCACUCUGGGCCGGUACUGACGCUGAGGAGCGAAAGCGUAGGGAGCAAACAGG
rnacentral:rRNA from 1 species